GAGAUGUACGAUGAGUGCUAGUGUUAGGGGGUUUCCGCCCCUUAGUGCUGCAGCUAACGCAUUAAGCACUCCGCCUGGGGAGUACGGCCGCAAGGCUGAAACUCAAAGGAAUUGACGGGGGCCCGCACAAGCGGUGGAGCAUGUGGUUUAAUUCGAAGCAACGCGAAGAACCUUACCAGGUCUUGACAUCCCGCUGCCCGCCUUAGAGAUAAGGCUUUCCCUUCGGGGACAGCGGUGACAGGUGGUGCAUGGUUGUCGUCAGCUCGUGUCGUGAGAUGUUGGGUUAAGUCCCGCAACGAGCGCAACCCUUGAUCUUAGUUGCCAGCAUUCAGUUGGGCACUCUAAGGUGACUGCCGGUGACAAACCGGAGGAAGGUGGGGAUGACGUCAAAUCAUCAUGCCCCUUAUGACCUGGGCUACACACGUGCUACAAUGGACGGUACAAAGGGCAGCCAACCCGCGAGGGGGAGCCAAUCCCAGAAAACCGUUCUCAGUUCGGAUUGCAGGCUGCAACUCGCCUGCAUGAAGCCGGAAUCGCUAGUAAUCGUGGAUCAGCAUGCCACGGUGAAUACGUUCCCGGGCCUUGUACACACCGCCCGUCACACCACGAGAGUUUGUAACACCCGAAGUCGGUGAGGUAACCCUUGUGGAGCCAGCCGCCGAAGGUGGGACAGAUGAUUGGGGUGAAGUCGUAAAAAGGGGUAACCAA
rnacentral:rRNA from 1 species